CCUACGGGAGGCAGCAGUGGGGGAUAUUGCACAAUGGGGGAAACCCUGAUGCAGCGACGCCGCGUGGGCGAAGAAGUAUUUCGGUAUGUAAAGCCCUAUCAGCAGGGAAGAAGAAAUGACGGUACCUGAGUAAGAAGCACCGGCUAAAUACGUGCCAGCAGCCGCGGUAAUACGUAUGGUGCAAGCGUUAUCCGGAUUUACUGGGGGUAAAGGGAGCGCAGGCGGCACGGCAAGCCUGAUGUGAAAGCCCGCGGCCCAACCGCGGGACUGCAUUGGGAACUACCGGGCUGGAGUGCCGGAGAGGUAGGCGGAAUUCCUAGUGUAGCGGGGAAAUGCGUAGAUAUUAGGAGGAACACCAGUGGCGAAGGCGGCCUACUGGACGGUGACUGACGCUGAGGCUCGAAAGCGUGGGGAGCAAACAGGAUUAGAUACCCCAGUAGUC
rnacentral:rRNA from 1 species